CUUGUUGUACAGAUGGAACAUUGGCUGUGGAUUCUUCUUGCUGCUCUUUUCUUUGAGUGUAAAGGAGAAGACAAAGUGAUCCAACCAGGAGGAGAAGUCAUUGCUGCUGAAGGAGACUCUGUCACACUCAACUGUACCUUUGAGACCAGUUCUACACAAUCAUAUUUGUUCUGGUACAAACAAGAAGUGAACAGUUACCCAAAGUACAUGUUAAGACGUGAUACCUAUGGAACAGAAGACAAUGCUCCAGAGUUCCACGAAGACAGAUUUGUUGCUGGAGUCAAAGACAAAUCCGUUCCUCUGACGAUCCAGAAUCUUCAUGUGACAGACUCUGCUGUGUACUACUGUGCUCUGCGGCCCACAGUGACAGGAAACAACAAAACUCUGUACAAAAACCUGCAGAGCACAACAACACAUUACUCCAUAACCUCCACUAGAGGGCACCACAUGUACAAAAACUUUUAUCGAACACUCCAUUUACAGAUUCUGGAUAAAUUGUGAGUUCUAUCUUUUUAAAGUUUCCUAAAUCUUUGGUUCGGAACCUUUGGAGGAGGGGGGUACUAUUCCUGUUAUGAAACUUUUUUAUUAUUAUUUUUUGUUUUAAAACUGAAUAAAGGACACUUUUACUGAUUCGAUCCAUCAUUUUUUAUUACAACACAAUUUUUCCUGUAGAUAUUUUAUAUAGUUUUCAGCACAAUGAAUGUGAUUUUUAAUUGUUCUUAACUGUAUAAGACUUUAGGCUCUUCAUGUAACUUGUUGGUCUAUGUCUUUAAGACAAUCUUGUUUUAUUAAAAGUACCUGGAUUGAACAGGAAUACAGAAAUUAUUAA